rnacentral:misc_RNA from 1 species
UAUUCUUUAUGUGUAUUGUUUAGUCAAGAUGUUAUGUGUGUGUAUCUGUAGGGAUGUGAUGUGCAUAACACUUUCUCACACACCCCCACUCCCAGGCCCACUACAGACCUCCAGACGAGGAACACUCCGUCCCCCGUCCAGUCAAGUAUACCAAUGGGUCCCUCACGGGCCCCAUCGAAACACAAUAUAAUAAUGAUCCUUCCGCAGGUUCACCUACGGAAA